GACAGGUGAAAUGGCCAACUCUGUACGUGUGUCCAGAACUUUUACUACUUUUUCCCAGUAAUGGAUUUUUACGUAAAAACAACAACUCUUUGAAAUGGCGAUUGAUGAUGUUAUGGUUACGAAAUGGGGAAACUCAUAAAAAGUCGGAUUAAGGAGAGGAUGAGUUCUCGGAGGAAGCCGCGACCGGUUCCCCGGGAGAAUGGUGACAGGGUGUUUUUAAGCCCCCACUGCUUGCUGCAGCAGAUUGCUGAACCUACCGGGUCCAUCUCGGCCUGCACCACCCAGCGCGGAAUGGAGUUCGAGAAAAAAUACCCGGUUAUAUUCACCAUUAUAGUACAAGGAACCAUUGAAAGACUGAUUAGCAAAGCAAACAUUUGUAAUAUCAUUAAAUUUUGUAAUUGGGACAUCACAAUCAUAUUAUGCCCCUUUAUCCUGCGCUGAUUUAUUCAUCGUGUAUGAAUUAAACAACAACGAUUAAGCGGUAAUCCAUCAUUAUCAAAAACAUUUUUAGCUGCAAAGAUUUUUUAUCUUCUUGUUAAAUAAAUACUAAAACUAAAUAGUUUCAUCUUUUUAUACAUUAAGAUACUAAUUACACCAGUUGGUUUUAAACAAGGUACAUGUAGAACAGAUGAGCAAAAACCUACAGCGGCUUGGGACCUCGGUCUUAAGGUAUCAAAUGUACAUUUGACCAAAAAAAUGAUACCUGGUAAAGUAUAUAUAUUCUAUGUACUCAUUUGAUAGUAUGUAGUUUCUAAAAAUAGAUUUUUUCACGCCCAAUCACUAUGGAGAAGUACCUCUAACGCUGCAGAUCACACACAGUAAAAUACUACAUGUAUUUUUCUUUGACAAAAACAUUUGUAAUCAUGAUUAAUAUUUCUCAAAUAAAAAUUGCCAACAUAUGUUAAAUCAAAAAUAGUGCGACAUUUUGAAAAUUUAUUUUUAUCUCCAUAAUCUACCAAGCUCAUCCAGGAAAAUCCCGAGCUCUCAGGCUCAGUUAUAAAUCCGAUACCUUAAGUAAAAAAAAACUACCUUGUACCUGUAAGGACCAGUCGGAUAUUUGAACCAGGCAACGUUUACAAAUCAACUCCACCACAGUACUGAGACCAUCGCUCUACCACCGCACCACACAACAGAUUGAAGAAACCUCAAAGGGAUAAAAUUCAUCAGCGCUGCAUAUUGCAAAAAAGAAUUUCACAUUGCUGCUCUGAAAUAUACUGAUGAUUCUAGGAAAGUGGUAAAAUCUAUUCCACGAAAUCAUAUUGAAAAACUCAAACGGAUCUAAGGACAGAAGACCACCAACUACGCAUGAAAACAGAUAGAUUUUAUAAUGUUUAGAGAUAUACAUAAAAUAAACAAUAUUGUUGAAAUGAAAAUUGUGGCAUAAAUUUACAAUGUCAUUCCGGGAUACGCAUGAAGUAAGCUGCCAAAGGAUACCUUGAUAAAUCAAACAAAUAGAAAACAGUCUUCAAGUGAUAAUUUUGUCAUAUUGUUAAUUUUGAAUUUACUGGGUGGGGGUAAAUAAAACGUUUACAAUAUGACAACUACUUGCACAUGCAUGCAUGUAUUAAAUUUUGUGAAUGGAAAAAAAUAUAAAGGAAUGACCUCAGUAUGAUGGAAGAAUCAU